CUCGUGUCGUGAGAUGUUGGGUUAAGUCCCGCAACGAGCGCAACCCUCAUCCUUAGUUACCAGCGGGUAAUGCCGGGCACUUUAAGGAAACUGCCAGUGAUAAACUGGAGGAAGGUGGGGAUGAUGUCAAGUCAGCACGGCCCUUAUGGGGUGGGCUACACACGUGCUACAAUGGCGACUACAAUAGGUUGCAACGUCGCAAGGCUGAGCUAAUCCGUAAAAGUCGUCUCAGUUCGGAUUGUCCUCUGUAACUCGAGGGCAUGAAGUCGGAAUCGCUAGUAAUCGUGGAUCAGCAUGCCACGGUGAAUACGUUCUCGGGUCUUGUACACACUGCCCGUCACGCCAUGGGAAUUGGCUUAACUCGAAGCUGGUGCGCCAACCGUAAGGAGGCAGCCAUUUAAGGUUGGGUCGGUGACUGGGGUGAAGUCGUAACAAGGUAGCUGUAGGUGAACCUGCGGCUGGAUCA
rnacentral:rRNA from 1 species